UACAGAGGUCUCAAGCGUUGUUCGGAUUCAUUGGGCGUAAAGGGUGCGAGUAGGCGGCGCGGUAAGUCGGGUGUGAAAUCUCGGGGCUUAACUCCGAAACUGCAUUCGAUACUGCCGUGCUUGAGGACUGGAGAGGAGUACUGGAAUUCAUGGUGUAGCAGUGAAAUGCGUAGAGAUCAUGAGGAAGACCAGUGGCGAAGG
rnacentral:rRNA from 1 species